AACGAACGCUGGCGGCAUGCCUAACACAUGCAAGUCGAACGAGACCUUCGGGUCUAGUGGCGCACGGGUGCGUAACGCGUGGGAAUCUGCCCUUGGGUUCGGAGUAACAGUUAGAAAUGACUGCUAAUACCGGAUGAUGACUUCGGUCCAAAGAUUUAUCGCCCAAGGAUGAGCCCGCGUAGGAUUAGCUAGUUGGUAGGGUAAAGGCCUACCAAGGCGACGAUCCUUAGCUGGUCUGAGAGGAUGAGCAGCCACACUGGGACUGAGACACGGCCCAGACUCCUACGGGAGGCAGCAGUGGGGAAUAUUGGACAAUGGGCGAAAGCUUGAUCCAGCAAUGCCGCGUGAGUGAUGAAGGCCCUAGGGUUGUAAAGCUCUUUUACCCGGGAUGAUAACGACAGUACCGGGAGAAUAAGCCCCGGCUAACUCCGUGCCAGCCGCCGCAGUAACAC
rnacentral:rRNA from 1 species